GAUGAACGCUGGCGGCGUGCCUAAUACAUGCAAGUCGAGCGAACGGACGAGAAGCUUGCUUCUCUGAUGUUAGCGGCGGACGGGUGAGUAACACGUGGAUAACCUACCUAUAAGACUGGGAUAACUUCGGGAAACCGGAGCUAAUACCGGAUAAUAUUUUGAACCGCAUGGUUCAAAAGUGAAAGACGGUCCUGCUGUCACUUAUAGAUGGAUCCGCGCUGCAUUAGCUAGUUGGUAAGGUAACGGCUUACCAAGGCAACGAUGCAUAGCCGACCUGAGAGGGUGAUCGGCCACACUGGAACUGAGACACGGUCCAGACUCCUACGGGAGGCAGCAGUAGGGAAUCUUCCGCAAUGGGCGAAAGCCUGACGGAGCAACGCCGCGUGAGUGAUGAAGGUCUUCGGAUCGUAAAACUCUGUUAUUAGGGAAGAAUAUAUGUGUAAGUAACUGUGCACAUCUUGACGGUACCUAAUCAGAAAGCCACGGCUAACUACGUG
rnacentral:rRNA from 1 species